CUUGCACCAGUGGCUUCCCCGAGGCUCUCAGGCCCCCGGCCUCAGACUGAAGACUGCACUGCGGGCUUUCCUGGUUUUGAGGCUUUUGGACUUGGACUGAGCCACUACUAGCUUCUCUCUUUCCCUACCUGGCAGACAGCCUGUUGUGGGACUGCCUUCUAACCGUGUGAACCAAUUCUCUCUGGGAGCUUAUAGCUUCAUUGCACUGUGUGUGGCAUUUGGGUCCUGUUUGACAGCAAUGACUGCCUUUCUGUUUAGUGUCUGUGUGCUAUGAAGAUUGCACACAGGGGUCCAGAUGCAUCCUGUUUUGAGAAUGUUAAUGGAUACACCAGCUGCUGCUUUGGAUUUCACCCAUUGGUGGUAGUGGACCCGCUGUUUGGAAUGCAGACAAUUUAAGUGAAGACAUAUCCAUAUAUGUGGCUCUGUUACAAUGGUGAAAUCUACAACCAUAAGAAGCCAAAAAUGUGAGUAUGACAUACAAAGAGAAAUACAUCAAGGACUUUUCAUCCUCAUAGUUUGCCAGUGAUGCUGGAGAGUGUCAGAAUUGGUGCAGCACCAGUUUGAAUUUGAAUACCAGACCAAAGUGGAUGGUGAGAUAAUCCUUCAUCUUUAUGACAAAGGAGGAAUUGAGCAAACAAUUUGUACGUUGGUUGGUGUGUUUGCAUUUGUUUUACUGGAUUCUGCCAAUAAGAAAGUGUCCCUGGACAGAGAUACAUAAGGAGUCAGACCUUUGUUUAAAGCAGUGACAGAAGAUGGAUUUUUGGCUGUGCGUUCAGAAGCUAAAGAAUUGUAAUUGUUCCUUAUGUACGCCAGACACAAAUCCCUUGUGUUCAUCAGGGUUGCAGGAUACAAGAUCAAUAUACAAAAAUCAAUAGUAUUUGACACACUUUAACUGAGUACUACAUACUCACAAUGAGCAAUCAGAAAAUGAAAUUAAGAAAGCAACUUCAUUUAUCAUAGCAUCAACAAGAAUAAAAUACUGAUAUAUUUAAGAAGUGUAAAACUUGUACUCUGAAAACUAUAGAACAUUUUUGAAAGAAAUGAAAGAAGAUCUAAAUAAAUGUAAAAGUAUCCCAUGAUCAUGGACCUAAGGCUUAACAU